rnacentral:rRNA from 1 species
GACGAACGCUGGCGGUGUGCUUAACACAUGCAAGUCGAACGGUAAGGCCCUUUCGGGGGUACACGAGUGGCGAACGGGUGAGUAACACGUGAGUAACCUGCCCUCAUCUCUGGGAUAACAGUCGGAAACGGUUGCUAAUACUGGAUAUGAGCUUGCAAGGCAUCUUGUGGGUUGGAAAGAUUUUUUUUGGUUGGGGAUGGACUCGCGGCCUAUCAGCUUGUUGGUGAGGUAGUGGCUCACCAAGGCUUCGACGGGUAGCCGGCCUGAGAGGGCGACCGGCCACAUUGGGACUGAGAUACGGCCCAAACUCCUACGGGAGGCGGCAGUGGGGAAUAUUGCACAAUGGACGGAAGUCUGAUGCAGCAACGCCGCGUGCGGGAUGACGGCCUUCGGGUUGUAAACCGCUUUCAAUUGUGACGAAGCGUUUUUGUGACGGUAGCAGUAGAAGAAGCACCGGCUAACUACGUG